rnacentral:lncRNA from 1 species
AUUGCUUUUUGAUCAAUGUCGGAUGGUUUGGUGACUUAGGAAUAUCCUGGUUAGCUCAACUUCUUGGAACUUAAAACUAUUUUAGGUUCUUAAGUCAGUCUUUAUAACUUGAUUGAUUAGUCAAUUGGUUCUAUGUUUGUGAGGAUUGAAAGUUAAUUUUUAAUCUUAUCAGAGAGUAGAGAUUAUAGUUAAAUGUGUGUACUUGAUUUUAAAUUUGUUCUAGAGACUUUUAAAACAAAUGUGCUCCCACGUUUUUUUCAAAUCCCAACACUCCUC